GGGCGUUAAGUUGCAGGGUAUAGACCCGAAACCCGGUGAUCUAGCCAUGGGCAGGUUGAAGGUUGGGUAACACUAACUGGAGGACCGAACCGACUAAUGUUGAAAAAUUAGCGGAUGACCUGUGGCUGGGGGUGAAAGGCCAAUCAAACCGGGAGAUAGCUGGUUCUCCCCGAAAGCUAUUUAGGUAGCGCCUCGUGAAUUCAUCUCCGGGGGUAGAGCACUGUUUCGGCUAGGGGGCCAUCCCGGCUUACCAACCCGAUGCAAACUGCGAAUACCGGAGAAUGUUAUCACGGGAGACACACGGCGGGUGCUAACGUCCGUCGUGAAGAGGGAAACAACCCAGACCGCCAGCUAAGGUCCCAAAGUCAUGGUUAAGUGGGAAACGAUGUGGGAAGGCCCAGACAGCCAGGAUGUUGGCUUAGAAGCAGCCAUCAUUUAAAGAAAGCGUAAUAGCUCACUGGUCGAGUCGGCCUGCGCGGAAGAUGUAACGGGGCUAAACCAUGCACCGAAGCUGCGGCAGCGACACUCAGGUGUUGUUGGGUAGGGGAGCGUUCUGUAAGCCUGCGAAGGUGGCCUGUGAGGGUUGCUGGAGGUAUCAGAAGUGCGAAUGCUGACAUAAGUAACGAUAAAGCGGGUGAAAAGCCCGCUCGCCGGAAGACCAAGGGUUCCUGUCCAACGUUAAUCGGGGCAGGGUGAGUCGACCCCUAAGGC
rnacentral:rRNA from 1 species